rnacentral:rRNA from 1 species
AAUCAACGCUGGCGGCGUGCCUCAGACAUGCAAGUCGAACGCGAAAGUCCCCUUCGGGGGACAAGUAGAGUGGCGCACGGGUGAGUAACACGUAGGUAAUCUACCUUCGGAUGGGGAAUAACAAUCGGAAACGGUUGCUAAUACCGCAUAAUGCAGCGGCACCUAAUGGUGACAGUUGUUAAAGCGGGGGAUCGAAAGACCUCGCGUCUGAAGAGGAGCCUGCGGCGGAUUAGCAGUUGGUAAGGUAAUGGCUUACCAAGGCGACGAAUCCGUAACCGGCUGAGAGGGCGGUCGGUCACACUGACACUGACAUACGGGUCAGACUCCUACGGGGAGGCAGCAGUCGGGAAUUUUGGGCAAUGGGCGAAAGCCUGACCCAGCAACGCCGCGUGAAGGAUGAAA